UGAGGGCAAUUGUCUAUAAAAGGGAAG
rnacentral:piRNA from 1 species